AAUUCGUGCAAUACAUUAAAAAAUUCAUACAACACAUUAAACAAUUUUAGUUUAACACGAAUAAAAACAUUUAGAAUCUUUAUAACAUGCAUAAAAGUUCGAUCAUUUCUAAAAAGAAAAACAAAACAAGAAAGUACUGUAAAAUACAAUCCAUUUACUCUUAAAGAAAAAUAUGUUAAUAAUAAUGAUAAUAAUGAUUAAAUAAAAUAAAUUCCACUUUACUUUAGGAAGAAGUAAAAGAGAGAGAGAAAAAAAAGAACAAAAGCAUAGAAAAAUCAUUGUUGAAUUUAGCCGACCCCCUUAGGUGAAAGUUCAACCAAUCAGGAGUAUAUAUAAACUACGCAGAAUCCGUCAGCUCACACCCUUUCUUUGCAAAACGAGCGACUAUUGGCUUGAUAUUGGCCAACCAGAAAGCAUCAUCAAUUAUUGAUCCUUGUUGCUGCAGUCUAACAAAAGUUUUUUUUUCUAUUUCUUUUUCUUUUUAUUUAUUUUCUUCUUUUUUUCUUCUUUUUUUUAUCAGCGAAGUUGUAAAGUGUUUUACGACAGCCAUAACUACGCGACUACCAAGCAUGUUAUAUGAAAACAGAAAGAGAUAGAACUGUAAGUUAUUAAAAUUGUUUAAACUGGAUUUCUACGUACGCUAUAACUAUGAAUUAAUAGAUAAAAUUUGCGACAAAAUGACCGUCAACUGAAAUAUCAUUUCAUUUUAAACGACGUCGUUAGAUCAGUUCUAUUAUAUUGCAACGAUUUUCAUCAAUGCGGCGGCAUUCGUGUAAUCACAUUUCAAAUAAUAAUUCAAAAGUUUAUUAUAUUAGGUAAAAAUAAAUUUAUUAAUUAGAAAUAAUUAGAAAUUAGGGGCUGUUAUAACGGCCCUACGAACUUUUCCUAAAUACCCUACGGACAUAUCGGAAAAACUCUACGGGCAUUUUAGAUCAAGUAGACGAUCAGUUAUCGAUCAUCCUGUUUUUUUUUUUUUUUUUUAUAUAAUAAAUAUAAGUAUUUCAAAUUUUUGUUGCUUAAGCACAACCUUAUUGAUAAACAAUUUUCAUAUUAUGGUUUUAGUACCGUCUUAUACACUGCGCAAGUCAUAUAUGCUUUUUAAAAAAUUUAACUAUGCGUUAUCAAUGUAAGAAAUGAAGAAAAAAUCGUCUUAUGUUUGUUCAGGAUGAGAUUGUUAUCUCAACGAAGUGGAAAUGCGGACUGCGUAAUGGGCGAGUAAUAUAAAAGGGGUUGUUUCCAACCAUCUAACCCCCUCCCUUCGCUAAAAUUACGAUUUAAGGAAAAAUUACUGGCACUUUGCUGUGCAAACAAGCCAACCAACUUCGUAAAUAUGUCUACUCUAAUGGCGCAAAACGUUACAUUGAGCGAGAAAAUAUGCGUGGGAAUUAAAAACGUUUCUGCAAGUGUGCGUUUUGUGAACCUAAAUAGAAGAAAAAAAAA